rnacentral:rRNA from 1 species
AUGGCGAACGCCGGCGAUCCCGCCUCCCUCCCCCCUUCCGCGUCUCCCUCCUCGUCCACGCGCGCGCUCGAGUCGGUCCCCUUCUCCUCCGGGAACCCCCGCAUCGAGGAGACCCGCGGCGUCGUCCUCCUCCACCCCGACCCACCCGCCGCUGCCGCCGCCGCCUCGUCAUCUCAUCUUCCGGCAGAGAGGAAGCCGCAGGUGUUCGUGCCUUCGGUGCCCAACCACAUGACCUACGCGGACUUCUGCCGCUUCUGCGGCUCCUUCGUCCCCCACAUGCUCGAGAUGCGCAUCGUCAGGAUUGAUGGAGCGGAGGACCAGUAUAGCGUUCUCAUAAAGUUUGACACUCUGAGCUCCACCGAUAGCUUCUACAAGCACUUCAAUGGAAAGCAGUUCUCAUCACUGGAGGGUGAUGUUUCUCAUGUACGUUUUGUGGAAGACGUGCACUACACUCAAUUGAUCGAGCAUGCGCAUAGCUCGAUUACGAGCUCAGCUGAGCAGCCUACCUGCCCAGUGUGUCUAGAGCGACUUGACCAAGAUCCUGGAGGCAUUCUUACUACAAUAUGCAACCAUUCUUUCCACUGUUCAUGCAUAUCAAAAUGGACAGACUCUUCGUGCCCAGUUUGUAGGUAUUGUCAGCAGCAACCUGAGAAAUCAAUGUGUUCUGUUUGUGGAACUUCGGAAAAUCUUUGGAUUUGUCUAAUCUGUGGUAAUGUUGGCUGUGGAAGGUACAAAGGUGGUCAUGCUAUUGAACACUGGAAAGAAACUGAACACUGCUAUUCACUUGAAUUAGAAACACAGAAGGUUUGGGAUUAUGCUGGUGACAACUAUGUCCAUCGUUUGAUUCAGUCCAAAACAGAUGGUAAACUGGUUGAGUACAAUUGCUAUGGUGGUCAUGAAGCAGAUGGUAUCUGUUCAAUAUGCAGUGGUGAUGCAGGAAUGGAUGAAGCUCUACUAAACAGUAAAGUUGAAGCUAUUGUUGAAGAGUACAAUGAUCUCCUCACGUCUCAGCUUGACAAACAAAGAAAUUACUAUGAGUCACUUCUGUCAGAAGUCAAAGAGGAGAAUGAGAAAGAAAUUUCUGCAGCCACUUCGAAAGCUGUGAGCAUGAUGAAACUCCAAAAGUUACAGGCAAAGCUUGAUAAGUGCCUUGAAGAGAAAAGUUUUCUUGAUGACAUCAAUGCCAAUCUUGUGAAAAAUCAGGAGAUGUGGAAAGAAAGGGUUCGGAAAGUUCAAGAAAGGGAACAAGCUGCACUUAAAUUGAAAGAUGAGAAGAUUGAGAAGCUGGAGGCGGAGCUAAGAGAUUUGAUAGCCCAUAUCGAGUGCCAAAACGCUGUGGCAGCAGCUCCUGGAUCAAUCUCAAGUGAUAUACAAGGGGGCACAAUUCUUCCUGGACCGUCUGCACCAUCCUCGAGCAGCAGCCCUGUUCGCCCCACAAAGGACAGGAAGCGGAAUUGA